AUUGAACGCUGGCGGCAUGAUUUACACAUGCAAGUCGAACAGUAACAGGCCGCAAGGUGCUGACGAGUGGCGAACGGGUGAGUAAUGCAUCGGAACGUGCCCAGUCGUGGGGGAUAACUACUCGAAAGAGUAGCUAAUACCGCAUACGAUCUAUGGAUGAAAGCGGGGGACCGUAAGGCCUCGCGCGAUUGGAGCGGCCGAUGUCAGAUUAGGUAGUUGGUGGGGUAAAGGCUCACCAAGCCAACGAUCUGUAGCUGGUCUGAGAGGACGACCAGCCACACUGGGACUGAGACACGGCCCAGACUCCUACGGGAGGCAGCAGUGGGGAAUUUUGGACAAUGGGCGCAAGCCUGAUCCAGCAAUGCCGCGUGCAGGAAGAAGGCCUUCGGGUUGUAAACUGCUUUUGUACGGAACGAAACGGCUCUGGUUAAUACCCGGGGCUAAUGACGGUACCGUAAGAAUAAGCACCGGCUAACUACGUG
rnacentral:rRNA from 1 species